CUUGAUGUUGAAUAGUCAGGAGAUAUUCUACUGCGAUAAGAAGUGGUCUGGAAACAUAAAUUACUGGAAUAUUAGAGAAAUGAGAUAUCAUUUAUGGAGAACGGGAGAUUGUUGCUUGUAUAAAAUUAUUCUGACGGAUGGAAACAGAACAAUGAGUUCUUUGGUCAAACAACUAGCAUGGAAUGAAGAAUAUUUGUGUUUGUAGUGCAAAGAGAAUUAAUCCUGUCUUAAUUAAAACUACGUGCUAUAUAUUGUUGAACGCAUGAAAUGAAUAAUUUAUUGCUUGAAGUGAUCAGUAUUAUUAGCAAAGGGAUGAAGUGUAUUUGUGUUACUGUAAAGAGAAUUAAAUGUGACUUAAUUGAAACUACAGUCUAUAUCUUGUUAUGCACUUGAACUUUUCCUUGCUUCUUUUGAAGUGAUUGGUAUCAUGAGAAGGAAGGCAUUGAUCCAAUUCAAUAAAAAUUCAACAUUAAUCUAAAUAGUGCACAAAAUUGAGGUUUAACACCUUAUCAAACUAGAAAUCAAAAGAAAUUUUCACUUCAGGCAUUGUUGCACAUUUUGAGCCAUCACUUGAUACAACACUACACCUUAAGCUACAAAUGAAAUAAAUAACCCAGUCAAUCUCAAUCACAUAACUCAAAAACCUUUGCUUGACAAAUAUUAAACGUCACCACCUGACAAAUCGAAUCACAAGAAACCUCGAUUGAGGAACAAUGAUUCCGUAGAGACACCAGAAGAGUCUAAAAUUGAACCCUUGAACUUCAGUAGAGCAGAUCCUCCCGUAUCAGAACCCCAAACAGUGUGUUGUUGAACCUAAAACAGUAUCGAAAUGAAAAUUAAUAGCUUCAACAGCUUGUGCAAACGGAAUAAAAAAACUUACCAAAGAUCCUCGCUUCCCUUCAAAAAAGAAGCAAUGAACGAGAUCUCAAAACCAAAAGAAAAUAGAAACUUACCUAACAUAGACUUUGCUGCUGUGGUUACGGCAAAUGGGAAUUCUAAUGGAACGAAAGGGAGCUACAGCCUUUUUUAUGAAGGAGAGGAAAGGAAUAAAAUUAAGGUUAUCUCGACUCCGACAAGCCCUUACUACCCUAUAAAACCUAUCUCCAUGUAGGAAAAGGAAAAGGGAAAGGAAGGAGGUUAAAAGGCUGAAUCGUGUGGGAGAAGUGGACCAUUAAAACACUUGUUGAAGAGAUAUUUUGUGCAUUGAAAGAAACUGGUUAGUGAACAGUAAUUAUCUAGUUAAAGUGUGAAAAGGAAAGCAGAAAAAUGAACAGUAAAAAGCUCAUUGCCUCUUUUUAUUAAGUGCAUAUUUAGAUGCAUUUAAUUUUUUAAAAUUAAAUAUUAAUGAAAAUGUAAAGUAAAAAAAAAAAAAAAAAGUGGAUAAACCUCCGUGCACGGAGGUUUGCUAAAUGAGUUUUUUUUUUUGUAAAUUUAUAUUUUUGUGUUCAUUUUCAGGCUCAUUACGGAAUAUCAAACGAAAUCGAAAUAUUACAUUCUUAAUAGCAUUUUAAAGUACUUGCGGCAUAGUGUUGUACAUCGUUAACAGUGUGUGAAACGGCUAAUCGUAGCAAAUGUUACGGGACGUUAAAAUAUGCAUUUUCAAACUAUAUUUUGAAAUUUUCGAUAAUAAGCUAACUUUAAAAAUUCAUUGACGAUUGUACGAUGGUCGAAUCGAUAAAUUUUUUACAUUCUCUCGAAACUCAUUUCAAGAACUAUAUCAUAGACAUAUCGAAAGAUCUAAAUGAAUAUCGAAAAUAGUUAAACUGACAUUAAACAUAUGUGUUGCCAAAUCACUUCCCAAACCAGUCAAGUUAUUUAAAAGUAAAAGAAGAGAUUACACUAUCUAAAAGAUAAAAAAUUACUUAUAAGUAAAAAAAUCACUUCAAGUUAUUUAAAAUAAAAAAAACUUAUAAUUGUAAAAGCUACUUAUAGGUAAAAAAAAAAUAUAAAACGAACUUAUAAUUGUAAAAGCUACUUAUAAGUAAAAAAAUAUUAACUUAAAAUUUUUUAAGUAUAAAUAUUUAGAUAUAUAUAGUUUUUAAAAUUAAAUAUUAAUAAAAAGAUUAAACUAUGUAGAACGUAAAAAAUUACUUAUAAGUAAUAAAAUCACUUCAAGUUAUUUAAAAGUAAUAAAAAUUAUAAUUGUAAAAGUUACUUAUAUGUAAAAAAUAUUAACUUCAACAUUUUUAAGUAAAUAUUUAGAUAUAUUUAAUUUUUUAAAAUUAAAUAUUAAUAAAAAAUGUACUACAAAUAAAACUAAAAAAAAAAGUUCACAUUGGUGCGGGGACUCCCCGCACGCAUAAAACUCCGUGCACGGAGGUUAUAACUUUCGUGCACGGAGUUUUGCUAAAGUAGUCUUUUUUUUAAUUUAUAUUUAUGUGUUCAUUUUCAGACUCAUUACGGGAUAGCAAACGAAGUUGAAAUAUUACAUUCUUAAUAUCAUUUUGAAGUACUCGCGGCAUAGUAUUGUACGUUGUUAACGGUACGUGAAACGGCUAAUCGUAGCAAAUGUUACAGGACGUCAAAAUAGGCAUUUUCAAACUAUAUUUCAAAAUUUUCGAUAAUAAGCUAACUUUAAAAAUUUAUUGACAAUUGUACGAUAGUCGAAUUGAUAAAUGUUUUACAUUCUCUCGAAACUCAUUUCAAGAACUAUAUCAUAAACACAUCGAAUGAUCUAAAUGAAUAUUGAAAAUAGUUAAACGGAUAUUAAACGUAUGUGUUAAAAAAUGCGUAUAAGUCGUUUUUCUUAAAAAAAAAUCAAUUAUUUUAUUACUAUUUAUUAUUUUUUCGCAACAAUUUUCACAAUACAUCAUUUUGCUCAAGAAAAAUUAUGUGGUAUGACGUAAAUUUUUUUCUGCAUGCACGAAGUGAAUAUGUUUUUUUUUUUAACAUUUUAUUUACAAUAAUUUUGUUUAUUAAUAUAAUUUUAAAAAUUUAAAUAUAUAAGAUAUGGUCGAUAGUUUAUAGCGUGAGAAUUAGGGGAAAGAGCAUGAUAUGUUAGAUUCAAAGUAAGGGAGAAAUAUUGCAGUGGACAAUAGCGUGUGACAAAAUUUCUGCAGUAUUUUUGAAUAAAAUUUUUCCUGAUGCCAAACCAAUUCCCAAACUGGUUAAGUUAUUUAAAAGUAAAAGAGGAGAUUACACUAUCUAAAAGAUAAAAAAUUACUUAUAAGUAUAAAAAUCACUUCAAGUUAUUUAAAAUAAAAAAAACCUAUAAUUGUAAAAGCUACUUAUAAGUAAAAAAAAAAAAAAUAUUAAUCCCUCAUUCUCUUAUAAUUGCAAAAGCUACUUAUAUAUAAAAAAAAAAUGUGAACUUAAAAUUUUUUUAGUAUAAAUAUUUAGUUUUUAAAAUUAAAUAUUAAUAAAAAGAUUAAACUAUCUAAAACGUAAAAAGUUACUUAUAAGUAAUAAAAUCACUUCAAAUUAUUUAAAAGUAAUGAAAAAUUAUAAUUGUAAAAGUUACUUAUAGGUAAAAAAUAUUAACUUCAACAUUUUUAAGUAAAUAUUUAGAUACAUUUAAUUUUUUUAAAUUAAAUAUUAAUAAAAAAUGUACUACAAAUAAAAUUAAAAAUAAAAGUGCACAUUGGUGCGGGGACUCUCCGCACGCAUAAAACUCUGUGCACGGAGGUUUGUUAAAGUUGUUUUUUUUAAACUUAUGUUUUUGUGUUCAUUUUCAGACUUAUUACGGGAUAUCAAACGAAGUCGAAAUAUUACAUUCUUAAUAUCAUUUUGAAGUAUAUGCGGCAUAGUAUUGCACGUCGUUAACGGUGCGUGAAACGGCUAAUCGUAGCAAAUGUUACGAGACGUCAAAAUAGGCAUUUUCAAACUAUAUUUCGAAAUUUUCGAUAAUAAGCUAACUGUAAAAAUUCAUUGACGAUUGUACGAUAGUUGAAUCGAUAUAUGUUUUACAUUCUCUUGAAGAUCAUUUCAAGAACUAUAUUAUAGACACAUCGAAUGAUCUAAAUGAAUAUCGAAAAUAGUUAAACGAAUAUUAAACGUAUGUGUUAAAAAAUGUGUAUAAGUCGUUUUUCUUUUAAAAAAAUCAAUUAUUUUAUUACUAUUUAUUAUUUUUCUGUAACAAUUUUCUCAAUACAUCAUUUUGCUCAAGAAAAAUUAUGUGGUAUGACGUAAUUUUUUUCUCCAUGCACGGAAUGAAUAUGGUUUUUUUUACAUUUUAUUUACAAUAAUUUUAUUUAUUAAUAUAAUUUUAAAAAGUUAAAUAUAUAAGAUAUGGUUGAUAGUUAAUAGUAUGAGAAUUAGGAGAAAGAGCAUGGUAUGUCAGAUUCAAAGCAAGGGAGAAAUAUUGCAGUGGACAAUGGCGUGUAACAAAAUUCCUACAGUAUUUUUGAAUAGAAUUUUUCUUGUUGCCAAACCAGUUCCCAAAUCGGUUAAGUUAUUUAAAAGUAAAAGAAGAGAUUACACUAUCUAAAAGAUAAAAAAUUACUUUUAAGUAAAAAAAUCACUUCAAAUUAUUUAAAAUAAAAAACUUAUAAUUGUAAAAGCUACUUGUAGGUAAAAAAAAAAAAUAUUAAUCCCCCAUUCUCUUAUAAUUGUAAAAGCUACUUAUAUAAAAAAAAAUGUGAACUUAAAUUUUUUUAGUAUAAAUAUUUAUAUAUAUUUAGUUUUUAAAAUUAAAUAUUAAUAAAAAGAUUAAACUAUCUAGAACGUAAAAAAUUACUUAUAAGUAAACAAAUCACUUCAAGUUAAUUAAAAGUAAUAAAAAAAUUAUAAUUGUAUAAGUUAUUUAUAGGUAAAAAAUAUUAACUUCAACAUUUUAAAGUAAAUAUUUAGAUAUAUUUAAUUUUUUUAAAUUAAAUAUUAAUAAAAAAUGUAUUACAAAUAAAAGUAAAAAAAAAUUUAAUUUGCCGGCAAAUUAUUAUUAUUAUUAUUAUUAUUAUUAUUAUUAUUUUUUAGCUUAUGUUUUUGAGACUCAUUACGGGAUAUUAAACGAAGUUAAAAUCUUACAUUCUUAAUAACAUUUUGAAGUACUUGCGGCAUAGUAUUGCACGUCGUUAACGGUGCGUGAAACGGCUAAUCGUAGCAAAUGUUACAGGACGUCAAAAUGGACAUUUUCAAACUAUAUUUCGAAAUUUUCGAUAAAAAUUCAUUAACGAUUGUACGAUAGUCAAAUCGAUAAAUGUUUUACAUUCUCUCGAAACUCAUUUCAAGAACUAUAUCAUAGAUAUAUCGAAUGAUCUAAAUGAAUAUCGAAAAUAGUUAAACGGAUGUUAAACGUAUGUGUUAAAAAAUGCGUAUAAGUCGUUUUUCUUAAAAAAAAAAAUCAAUUAUUUUAUUACUAUUUAUUAUUUUUUCACAACAAUUUUCUUAAUACAUCAUUUUACUCAAGAAAAUUUAUGUGGUAUGACGUAAAUAUUUUUCUCCAUGCACGGAAUGAAUAUGUUUUUUAUUUUUACAAUAAUUUUGUUUAUUAAUAUAAUUUUAAAAAUUUAAAUAUAUAAGAUAUGGUCGAUAGUUAAUAGCGUGAGAAUUGGGAGAAAGAGUCCUAUUGUAUUGUUGAAUGAAAUUUUUCCUGCUGCCAAACCAGUUCCCAAACCGGUUAAGUGUGAAAACGAGUGUGAUAAAAAUGAAUUGUAAACCCUCAUUCUCUCUUUUAUGGUAGUGUAGAUGUGCAUUUGUAAUAAAUUUUAAUAGUUUAAUCAAUAAUAAUUAAUUGAGAAUAUUAUUUUGAAUUUGUAAUAUCACAAUAUUACGAUUCGAAACGUAUUACAUUCUUUUUAGUAUUAUGAUUUAAUAUUUUCAUAGUUGUUGUAUUUCUAUUAAUUGUACUACAUGUUUUAAAUUUAUUAAUGAAUUAAAUAUUUUUGUUAACAAAACAUAAUUAUUUAUUUAAUAAUUCAUGUAGUAAUAAAAUAAAUAAAUAAUUUUUGAGAUAAAUAAAUUGUUAAGAAUUAAAAAAAUGAAGAAAAUUAUUAAACACUAUUAAUUUGGUGCAACUUUUGAUGUAAUGAGUGAGAGUUGAUUUUCACUUUAAUGUAAGAUUUGAUGCAAAAUGAUGCAACUUUUGGUGUAACGUUGGAGACAGCCUUAGAAUAUUUGGCUAAGCUUAGUUUGUUAGUAAGGGAAGGUUACUAUCGAAACAAAAAUGAAAAAAAAAAGGCAAGAACUUGCUACUUUUAAGCUUAGCAAAACAUGCUGGGAUGUGUAUUGAAUUGAAGAGUCAUGCUUCAGUUCAGGCGUGCCGUUUCAAUGGGGUUAACUAAUUAAACCAAAAAGGCUGAUAAAUGGAUUGAGCUGAAAAAGCGAAAUUCUGGGUUCAUCUAUCAGUGGUCCGCAAGAAAAUGCUGUAUCAGUUCUGGAUGGAUAAUGGAAAGAUAUGAAUCCAAUAAUUCCAAACGUGAAAUUUAAUUCAUAAAGAAAUUUAUGCAUGUCAUAUUUUCAACGUUUUUUAAACCAAAAUUUGACAAUUUUUUAUAGCAGUUGACUUGGUAAUUGUAAAAGUUUAUUCAUUUGUAAGUUUAAUUAAGCAUAUGAUGCGAGUUUCAUUUGCUAUAAAUAUGAAGCACAAUUGCGUCGGUUGACCAACCGUUUCUUUUUCAGUACUUUUAAUUGGACAAAGCGAAAUUAUAUUAAAGUUUAAACUUUCAAAAUUAUUAUAUUUUAAUUUUCAGUUUUAGUUUAAUUAAAAUCUUAAUUUAUAGUAUAACAUACUAUUAAAUAUUUGAAUGGAGGUUAUGAAUUGAUUAAUUUUCAUUAGUGUGGGGGUUUAAAUUAUACACUAUAAAAAGGGAGGACACAACAUGAAAAUCACAAUCUUGAGAUACAACUAGAAAACACAACUUGAGAUAAUUGAAUACAAAAAUAUUUUCUACAAUUUUAUAAUAUACUAUUUUGACAAAUCGAUGAAAGGCUCGUUCAAUUAUCUCCCUACGGUCGUGCCCAUAAAAGGAGAGCUACAUGGAUUUUAUCUUGGAGCUGUGUAGUAUCGAAAGAACUCAUACGGAGGGGAGGCAAUAGGACUUUAGGACAGCGUCUUCGACUUAACUCCCAAGGAUUGCUAUUUCUAACUCACCUCUUAUGUUUGUAUUCUUAUUGAAUUAUAUUAUUUAUAUGUUUAUGUUUAAAAUAGUUGUGUUAAAUAAUAUUUUAUUUACACACAAAUCACCAAUUUUUCUAACAAUCUAAAGUCUUGUUUGGUGAUUUAAACGUAGACAAUUAUUGUUAUGUGAUUUGUGCGUAGAAAAAGAUAGUGUUUGAUUCUUUGCUACUUCGAAUUUGGUGAAUUUUGGUUUAAUAAGUGAACGGUGGAUCCGCAUGUUUUUCAACUACUUGCAGCCAUGGUAGGUAAACAAUCUCACUGCCUGAUAUUUUGCAGAUUUGAGCCUCUGGUUUUAUUAAGCUCAAUAUUGUGUUCCUUAGCAAUGAAAAAUCGAAAUUCAUUUUGUAUUGGGCACCAUAAAAAAAAAAUUAUCAUUGAAUAAUUUUCAUUCUUGUUAAGUAUUUUUAUAUUUCUAUAAAUUGGUAGAAUAAAUGACAAAUUAAGGGGUUUAAUAAUUACACAUUUUAAACUCAAUUUUCAAUGUGUUAAAGAAGGGAAGAAACAAUGAAUAUAACUGUGAACAGAAAUUAAAGCCUCAUGGGGUAGAAGCCUAUUUUGUUGGCUUUGCUCAUAAACUAUGUAUGUUUCAACUAAAAGCCAAAUCUUGUUGAGUGUCAUCUAUAAGUGCAUAGAGCUAUAGAGGGGACAAGCGGCUUAAUGGUUUUCUUCCUUGGUAUUACACUAAAAAUUGGCAACAAUGUAAUGUGAAGAAGAGGAGAAAAAGGGGAUGUUUUCAUCAUCCCCUUACCACCAAUUUAUCUUAUGUUGCAGUGAUCAUACUCAACUUCUUCAUCACCAACCUUGGAAGGUAGUAUCAUGUUCAUUUGUGUAUAAAAGGGCUCUUUGCACUCGAUUUGAUUGUUUUGAAUGAUUUCAUUUCGACACAACCUCGAUCUAAAAUUUUCAUAUUUUAUCUCAAAUUUUAUUUGUGUAACAAGAGGCGCACGUCAGCAUAAAUUGGGGUAUUUGUUAAGCAGCAACUAGGGUUUCCUUCAAAAGUCCCAACUUAGGAGGUGAAACUGAGAGAUUGAAAUUCUAAAGGAUGGUAUCCCAUCUCUUUUUGCCAAUGAUUUCACAGUUCAUAUAAAAUAUUAAAAAAAAACACAAAAGACCAACAGCCCUUUUUGUGCUUCUAGUAUAUGUAUUUGUUUUCUGUUUGUUACUGUUUGUGCAUAUAUAAUUGGAGAGAAGAGUGAGUUUCAUCAAUGGUCACUAAAUUAUCCCAAUCGAGUCACUUUAAGAAUCUUCCCGGUCGUAGGACAAUAUGUGGUACAUAAACAAAAAUAGUACUAAUUAGUUCCUGUUUUCUUUAUACCUUCCUUACUGCCAAUUUUACCGCAAUGUAUAUUUGAAAAUUUAGUUGUCUAAGGUUGUAAUUGUAAUGAGUGAAUGGAGAAUUGGUUCUACCUUGUAGUUUGUUUCACUCAUAUUUUUCAUAUUCAACAAAAUGAUAUGAUUUCUUGAUCUUUAUUUUGUGAUUUAGUUUGUCAAGGUGAUUAUUCUUUGGCAUUAUGACUAAUAUUUUGCAAAUGCAUUUAAAGAAGACUUUGUUACCAUAUUGGAUUAUAGAAAUCAUGAAAGUGUGAAGUUUAUAAAUAUGUGCAUCAAUCAUCUCCUCACAACGUUUAAUCCUAUUGAAAGAUAUAAAUAGUAAAAUCAUAUACUUACUCAAUUCAGGUUGGAUAUCCUUGAAAUGUGGGGGUAUUAAAAUAUUUAAUAGGGUUUUCUUGUCUUUGGUCAAUGCUUAAAAAGAAGUUAAAUGAAUAUCAAAAUGUCAUACUUUUAUUUAUAUGUAUCUAAGUUUUUCUUAUUUAUUGUGACACUAAUAUUUUGUGAAAGUAUUUAGAAGUAUUUGCAGACAUGAAAAAUUUCAAAGAAACUCCACAACGAUGGAUACUUUUGGAAUGUGGCAGUGUUUAAUAUAGAUUGUGGAACAAUUGAAGUUUGACCAAAAGGAACUAAUUCAAGGCUUAGUUCAUUAUGACUCUUUCAAAUGGAAAUUGUUAUUACUAAGUGAGAUUCAAGUCCAAAAGACAUCUACACCUACUAUACAGUAUAACAUUGCCACUAUAUAAUAUAUAUUUAUUUAUUUUGAAAGAUUAAAACUUGUGGGGGAUUGUUGAAAAUUAUAUUAAAGUUUUAACUUUCAAAAUUAUUAUAUUUUAAUUUUCAAUUUUGGGUUAAUUAAAAUCUUAAUUUAUAGUAUAACAUACAAAUAAAUAUUUGAAUGGAUGUUAUGAAUUGAUUAUUUUUCAUUAGUGUGGGGAUUUAAAUUAUACACUAUAAAAAGGGAGGACACGACAUCAAAAUCACAAUCUUGAUAUACAACUAGAAAACACAACUUGAGAUGAUUGAAUUCAAAAAUAUUCUCUACAAUUUUAUAAUUUACUAUUUUGGCAAAUCGAUGNNNNNNNNNNNNNNNNNNNNNNNNNNNNNNNNNNNNNNNNNNNNNNNNNNNNNNNNNNNNNNNNNNNNNNNNNNNNNNNNNNNNNNNNNNNNNNNNNNNNNNNNNNNNNNNNNNNNNNNNNNNNNNNNNNNNNNNNNNNNNAAAUAAUUGAACUUUGAGUCGCUUCAUGGAAAUCUUAUCAAACUUCAAAAUGUUGUUGAAACAUAAUUGAACUUUGUCAAAAUGCUCUCCCAUUCAUCACUCGCAAGAAUUCAUUACGUUGACUUAAACAAAAUUGUCCAUAUUAAUAUGGAAUUCACAUAUUGAACAAAUUGUCGUUUGAUUCCCCCAAUAAGAGAUGGAUGGAGAGCAUUUUGUCAAGAUAUUUACGGCUGUCAACAAUAUUUAAAAAUUUCGUUCAAGUUAGCACAUAAUUUUAACGAGCUAUGAAUGGAUAGCAUUUCAUAGAGUUCAGUAAUGUUUUAACAACAUUUUAAAACAAGUCUUUCGAAUUUACGUGAAUUAAUGAGUUUAAUUUAGGAAUAAUUGUAGCAGCACACAAGAACAAAUGGUGAAUCCAUUUGGCUGUUAGCUGAUCUAGAAAAUGAAAAUUUGACCAAAUUAAAAAGGGUAAAAUAGUAACUUUACAUUUUUUUCACAUUCAAUAAUUAAAAUAUGUAAAUUAGAAAAAUCAAAAUAAAAGAAAAUAAAACUCAUCCCACCUAAAAUGUAAAGUUAUCGUUUUACCCUUCUUAAUUUUGUCAAAUUUUCAUUCUCUAGGUCAACUAAUAGCGAUUUCAUCCGUUUAUCCUUGUGGUGUAGGAAAAUGAAAGGUUUGAAACUGUAGUGAGUACAAAGUGAAGAUUGAUAUAAAGUUUUUAAAAAAGUAAAAGGUUUUGGAUUGUUGUUGCGAUUAUCCCUUCAAUUUAAUUAUCCAAUCAACCAAGGCUCCAAUUAGAUCAAAACGUUUUAACAAAGCAAGUUUUGAUCACGUUUAACUUAAAUAAUAACGAGCAAUUGAUGUCAUUGAAACUAAGGCUUUGUUUGUCUUCAUUUCUUCCACACUUUACAAUAUUUUUUUUUACAGUACUCAUUUUCAUUCACAUUAAUCAUUAUAGAAAAUGAAUUAUAGAAUAGUAGGUUUUUGGAAAAUGUGUGGUUAAAAAGUAAGAAAAAGUUUUUGAAAUUCGUGAAUAAUUAUUUUAUAGAAGAAUGUGGUUGAAAAUGAGUUUUGAAAAAAUGCAUUAUUGAAAAAAUGGGGAUCAAAUAAGGGUUAAAAUAAUAUUAUACAUAAAUAAAAAACUUUUCUUUCUUUUUUAACCACACAUUUUAAUAUCAAUAAUUAUUCCAUAAUACAUUACACACAAAUAAUUGGACACAAACAAGCACUAAAUAUAUAAACAUAAUAGGAUUGAUACCUUAAAAAGCAAGUUUUGAUUAGGAUUGGAAGUUAAAGUCAACCCUCAUUUUCUAUAUAUAUGUAAGCCCCGUUUGGCCCUCAUUUUUUGUAAUGAAAAUGGGGGGAAUAGUGUUUUGUCGAAAAAAUAAGCGGUUGAGAAAGAAGGAAAAAUUUUCGAUUUACGUAUAAUAUUAUUUUAUGGAAGAUUGUGUGGUUGAAAAUAGGAGAGAGAAAAAUAGAAUGUAAUGAAAUGUAAUUUAAUGGGGAACAAACAGGGGCUAAAAGUAAGUUUAACUUAAAAAUAAAUAAGUUUUAUUUGGUCAAAUCUCUUCUAGAACCAUAGAUUAAGCCUCCUGAAAUUUGUUCAUUAAAGUCUACGGAAAAGCCUUUCGAUGAAUCUCGCUUCUGUCAGAUUAUUGACUAAACUUCCUCUAGAAACAAUCUUAAAUCAUUUUAUUAAUUUCUUCAAAAUCAACCUCAUCCAAAGUUUUUCCCAUUCUUUUACGUCUCCAAUUUAUUAUAUAAACUGCAGUUAAUGUAAUCAUUCCCAUUCCCUUCUCAUCAUCUUCCUCCACCAUCUGCACGACAUAAUACUGCCGUUUUUCCCUUCAAAGGAUUUUAUUGAUUCCAAGUCAUGGGAAAGCAAAUGGGUUACAUGCACUAUUGGAUUGAGGAGGUUGCUCCAUCCUCUCUCGUAUUUCCUCGUAAGCCUUCGAAUGCGCCAAAACUCGAAACUAUUGCAGAAGAAGGAUCUGAUCAAAAGUUGAAUUUUGUCAACAAGAGGCUGUGUAGUUUUCUUCUCCCUAUCUUCAUUUCUUUGGGUUCCUAUCUUUUGAUAAACAGAUAUAAUGUUAUUAUCUGAUUGGAAGAACUCAAAGACUCUCAUCCCGUUCUUGAAGGGUGUAUCUUGUAAGAUUAUGAGCAAGUUGGGCACUGUUUCUUUGUAAACGAGUUUUGAAGUUGAGUUCUAUCCCAUGUGAUUACGAUGAAGAUAUUAGAUCUGUAAAGAUGGAGUCAAUGGCAACAAGGAGAUGAACCACACGUACCAUUGGCUUUUCAAGAACAUAGCUAAAGGAACUGGGAUGCAAUCACGUCAUCAUAACAGAGAAAUUCCCAACCUUUAUAUUUCUUUCUUUUCAAUAAAGGAGAAGACGAAUUCUGAAAUACUCUUUAGAUGCAAUCAUGAAGUUAUUUUGUAGUUGGUUAAUUAUGUACAUCAAAUCAAAUAUCAAUAUAUAAUUUGAUUAUAUUUGUAAUUUUAGUUUCUUAGGUGCUCUUUUCAUUUUCAUUUUUCUUUUGUUUGACUCAAGUUUAAGGUGCAUUUGUUAUUGCAUAAACUGUUUUGGGAUAUUUUACUUUUUUUAUUGGAAAUUCGCUUUCUUCAUUAAGUGCAUGUUUAGUAUUGAUUUUUUACCCAAAAAAAUCAAUUUUUUGAUCGUUAUUUCACUAUUCAAGCCAUAAUUUUUGACUUCUUCUCUCACAAAUAGGACACUUUUAUUUUCUACGGUCAAAAAAUCAAUUUUCAAAAUCAAUAUCUUACAAGUCCUAUGACAGUUAAGCAUUAUGAUUAGACUAGAAACCAAUAGGUAGUAUGGUAUUCAAGCUUGCCAUGACACUUGACUAGCUAUGGACUGGGUCAAGGUAAGUUUGUAAUGAGAAUUGAAAGCAAUUUAUCGAUUUAUCCACGGGCACAAUUUAAUUCCUGAUGGCUGGAUAACUUUUGCAAAAUAAAGAAAUGGGCUUCAUUAAUUUGGGCCUCACAGGCCCAACACUUGGAAGUGGGUUAAAUUAGGUUGUGUAAUCAAAAUCUCAAUUUUAAAGCUUGCAGAGCCAAUUCCAGACACUAUAAAAAGUUUGGGAAUUUUCCUUCAAAUAAACUAGGGAAAAUUUCAUAUCUAAGGUGUUAACUAUAAUUCAUUUCAAAAUUAAAAAAUAAUUUUAAAAAUUUUAAAAAUUAAAUUUUAUUUAUAAAAUAAUUAAUUAAAUAAAUUAUAUAUAAUUUGAUCACAAAUAAAAAAUUGUAUAAAUCACCUUAUUUCACGUUCACAACAAAAAUUUUAUAGGUAACAAUUUAUUCAUCAAUCAUAAAUUAAAAAAUUGGUCACAAGUUAUCGAUCACAACUUAUUUUAAAGUCACAAAAUAUCAAAUUAAUUAGUCACAAAGUAUUUUUUUAGGUCACAAAUUAAAAAAUUUGAAGAUUACACAUUGUUUGUUGGUUAUAAAUUAUUUAAUUUAUAGGUAGUGUAUUAUUUAUUGAUCACAUAUUAACUAUUUAAUAGGCACCCACAACAAUAAGAAUGCACCACCACCUCCCCCGUCACAAACACCACCACCACCAGUGUCACUAUCGUCACUAUUUGCAACCCACCAACAACAACUUCACCACCACCACUAAAAAACCACCAACACCACUACUACCUCACCACUACCACCACUAAAAAUAACCAUUUACAAAUUGAAAACAAGUAAACCACCAACAACCACAAAAUCAAGGCUACGCUGAUUGAAAGAGGAAUAAAUAACACCCAAAACCUGAAACCCCUUUCCCACGUCAUCACUAGUCGACGUCGAUGUCACCAAUGUUGAAGCAGCAAGGUCGUGACACUGCGACAAACUCUCAGCAGCCUUCGAUGCCAGCAACGUCGGUUGGAUCAGCGCCUCCAUCAUCGAUCAUCAAAGUUUUGAAUGGGUCGUCGGCAUUCGAAGAGAGAGAAGGGUGAACAAAGAAGAGAGAGAAGGGAGAGAUGUAGAGAGAAGAGGGAAAGGAAAAUAAUUAGGCUUGGAUGAAGUUAGAGUUGGUAUACUGAUUAUUUUAAUUUUAAAAUAUUAUUAAUAUAAUUUUAAAAAGUUUAAAUUGUUAUCUGAGUUUUGGAAAAAAAAAAUUUCAAAAUUUUAAUAAGUUUAAAUUGUGCAUUUUAAAAUUCUUGGAAGAUGUAAUUUCCACAAUAAACUAUUGUUGAUCUAGCCGUCAAAAAAAAUAAGUAGUUUCAAAAAUUAAUUAUCCUUUUCCAAAUUUAUAGGGUUUCUCUUCCAACAAGAAAAUUCUUGUUGUACAAAAAAAUUUGUACAAAAUGGUGUUCUCCACCCACAUGUAAGCUUGUGUAGUGUUUGCUGGACGGAGCGUGCUAUGUGUACAUAAAAAUUAUGGUGUCCCCCACUCACGUGAAACGAACUGUAAAGUGCUGAACCUUAAUCUAUAGGGUCCCCUUUAAUUAUCCCAUGUUGCAGGCAAUACAUAUUCUUGGUUCUUAAAUUCUGAGAUUUUUAUUCUUGACAUAUUCAAUGGGUGAACUUCAAAUAAAACGCCCUUUCACUCUUCCUCCCUCGCCUCUACCCCCGUUGCCCUCAUUACGUGUUGACCCUCCUGCUCUGGUGUUCUCGUCAUGUAUCGAAACUCUUCCCGCUCCUGCAAAUCCAGCAUUUCCCUUUGAUCCCAGCAGGAGUAAAUUAUCUUUCUUUCCUUCUCUUUCUCUUUCUCUGCUUGGCNAUUGAUCUCAUCCACUUGAAAAUUCAUGUAGAAGUUGCUAAUUCUACUUUGUAAAGAGUUGCCUCGGCCCCAUUGCUCGCCCCACAAUCCUACCUUCAGUUUCUUCUUUCCAUUUGUAUCAGAAAGUUAGUGGAUCAGUGUGCAGGUCAGUCACCCUAUCUUGCGUAUUUUCCUCUUUAGUUUUUGUGCAGGGUCGACAGAUGAUAUCUAAUUUAUCCUCUGAGGUGGUUUAUUCUACUUGAAAGCUGGCAAGUUGUAAAAAGUGUCUUGUGGUUCAUGUUUAAAAUAUAUACUUUUAGUAAAGACUAGGUGGAAAUAUAGUUUAGGAUUCAAAAAUGUUUCUUGACGUAGAAAGAAAAGCAAUGGAAAACUUAUGAACAAGUGUCAUAUUUUAGUGUUUUUUUGGUAAUGCUUUUAAGUGCUUAUAAGUUGUGGGUCCUAUGUUUGACCACCUUAAAAAAAAUUCAAGCUUUGCCAAUCUUGCACUUAAAGAAGCAAAUUGAUCUGUUAUGACAGUUUGGGGCUUGAUGUUGAAUAGUCUGGAGAUAUUCUACUGCGAUAAGAAGUGGUCUGGAAACAUAAAAUACUGGAAUAUUAGAGAACUGAGAUAUCAUUUUUGGAGAACGGGAGAUUGUUGCUUGUAUAAAAUUGUUCUGACGGAUGGAAACAGAACAAUGAGUUCUUUGGUCAAACAACUAGCAUGGAAUGAAGAAUAUUUGUGUUUGUAGUGCAAAGAGAAUUAAACCUGUCUUAAUUAAAACUACGUGCUAUAUAUUGUUGAACACAUGAAAUGAAAAAUAUAU
rnacentral:lncRNA from 1 species